rnacentral:lncRNA from 1 species
ACAACUCCGACAUCAGCAGUAACAAGUACAACAGAAAUGUCCAAUACCACUGCAGUGGCAGGAACAACGACGGAAGUCACAACAACGACAGCAGCGACUUCCACAGAAGCACCAACUACAACAGCUACAACAGAAACAUCUAAAAGUGCUGCGACGACCACGUCUGAAAUGACCACAACAACUACUCCAGUGGCUGAAACGACAGCAGUCACAGCUACUACAGCAGCGACUUCCACAGAAGUACCAACUACAACAGCUACAACAGAAACAUCAACAAGUGCUGCAACGACGAUGUCUGAAACAACCACAUCCACUCCACUGGCAGAAACGACAGAAGUCACAACUACGACAGCAGCUACUUCCACAGAAGCACCAAGUACAACUGCAACAACAGAAACAUCUACAAGUGCUGCGACGACCACGUCAGAAAUGACCACAACUACUCCAGUGGCUGAAACGACAGCAGUCACAGCUACGACAGCAGCGACUUCCACAGGAGUACCAACUACAACAGCUACAACAGAAACAUCAACAAGUGCUGCAACGACGAUGUCUGAAACAACCUCUACCACUGCAGUGGCAGGAACAACGACGGAAGUCACAGCUACUACAGCAGCUACUUCCACAGAAGCACCAAGUACAACUGCAACAACAGAAACAUCUACAAGUGCUGCGACGACCACGUCUGAAAUGACCACAACUACUCCAGUGGCUGAAACGACAGCAGUCACAUCUACGACAGCAGCGACUUCCACAGGAGUACCAACUACAACAGCUACAACAGAAACAUCAACAAGUGCUGCAACGACGAUGUCUGAAACAACCUCUACCACUGCAGUGGCAGGAACAACGACGGAAGUCACAACUACGACAGCAGCUACUUCCACAGAAGCACCAAGUACAACUGCAACAACAGAAACAUCUACAAGUGCUGCGACGACCACGUCAGAAAUGACCACAACUACUCCAGUGGCUGAAACGACAGCAGUCACAGCUACGACAGCAGCGACUUCCACCGGAGUACCAACUACAACAGCUACAACAGAAACAUCAACAAGUGCUGCAACGACGAUGUCUGAAACAACCUCUACCACUGCAGUGGCAGGAACAACGACGGCAGUCACAGCUACUACAGCAGCAACUUCCACAGAAGCACCAAGUACAACUGCAACAACAGAAACAUCUACAAGUGCUGCGACGACCACGUCAGAAAUGACCACAACUACUCCAGUGGCUGAAACGACAGCAGUCACAUCUACGACAGCAGCG